rnacentral:rRNA from 1 species
AGCGAACGCUGGCGGCAGGCCUAACACAUGCAAGUCGAACGGACCCUUCGGGGUUAGUGGCGGACGGGUGAGUAACACGUGGGAACGUGCCUUUAGGUUCGGAAUAGCUCCUGGAAACGGGUGGUAAUGCCGAAUGUGCCCUUCGGGGGAAAGAUUUAUCACCUUUAGAGCGGCCCGCGUCUGAUUAGCUAGUUGGUGAGGUAAAGGCUCACCAAGGCGACGAUCAGUAGCUGGUCUGAGAGGAUGACCAGCCACAUUGGGACUGAGACACGGCCCAAACUCCUACGGGAGGCAGCAGUGGGGAAUCUUGCGCAAUGGGCGAAAGCCUGACGCAGCCAUGCCGCGUGGAUGAUGAAGGUCUUAGGAUUGUAAAAUCCUUUCACCGGUGAAGAUAAUGACUGUAGCCGGAGAAGAAGCCCCGGCUGACUUCGUGCCAGCCGCCGCGGUAAUAC